rnacentral:rRNA from 1 species
UGGGGAAUUUUGGACGAAUUGGGGGCAACCCGUGAUCCAGCAAUGCCGCGUGUGUGAAGAAGGCCUUCGGGUUGUAAAGCACUUUUGUCCGGAAAGAAAACGUCGUGGUUAAUACCCGUGGCGGCUGACGGUACCGGAAGAAUAAGCACCGGCUAACUACGUGCCAGCAGCCGCGGUAAUACGUAGGGUGCAAGCGUUAAUCGGAAUUACUGGGCGUAAAGCGUGCGCAGGCGGUCCGCUAAGACAGAUGUGAAAUCCCCGGGCUUAACCUGGGAACUGCAUUUGUGACUGGCGGGCUAGAGUAUGGCAGAGGGGGGUAGAAUUCCACGUGUAGCAGUGAAAUGCGUAGAGAUGUGGAGGAAUACCGAUGGCGAAGGCAGCCCCCUGGGCCAAUACUGACGCUCAUGCACGAGAGCGU